CACUAUAGUCAAGAGGAAGAAAGCAUAGAGUUUGCGGGAAACUCUAUUGAAAAAGGAAAAAGAGUCUGGCAGCUGUUUUCCCAUUUUUCGCUCAUGCGGUAAGCGUGCUGCGUCUCGCUAACAUGGCACCACCGCGGAUCAUUAGAACACCAUCCGAGGAGCGCGAAUUUAUCAAUAAACGUAAGGAAGCAAGGCGGGCCCGCAUACGCGCCCAGACGCAGGAACAGCGUGAAGCUGCGCGUGCCAAGCACGCUGAAAUUCAACGCCGUAGACGCCAAAACGCAGCAGUGCGGGAACGCGAGGCAGAGGCCAGGCGGCAGCGCCGGCAAGACCCCGAACUUCGGGAGAAGGAAGCGGCCGAACGUCGCGCCCGCCGUGAGGAUGCGGCAGUGCGGGAACGCGAAGCCGAGGCAAAGCGACAACGCCGACAAGACGCUACUCUUCGGGAGAAGGAGGCGGCCGAACGUCGUGCACGGCGUGAGGAUUUGGCAGUGCGGAAACGUGAAACCGAAACAAGGCGACAACGCCGACAAGACCCAGUGUUUCGGCUGCUUGAGGCCGCCGAACGUCGCGCCCGCCGUGAGGACGCAGCAGUGCGGGAGCGCGAAGCCGAGGCGAAGCGACAACGCCGACAAGACCCGGCUGUUCGGCAGCUGGAAGCGGCCAAGCAUCGUGCUCGACGUGAAGAUCCAGCAGUGCGGGAACGCGAGGCCGAGGCAAGGCGUCAGCGGCGGUUGAGAGAGCACACAUCACUAUUCGGAGGACAGUUCGGCAACCCAUUCGGAUAUACGUGCGACGUUUGCCAUCGCCUUGGUUUUAAAGCAGACCUUUCGCCUAUCCGCACUCCUCACGUGCCGCUGCUCAGUGCCGAGUUUCCAAACGAGGACGUGCCUUCCUUUAUGCUGUGCUCCACGUGCCAGAAGGCACUGCAAAGUGGUACAGUUCCCGCACUUUCUCGAAGUAACAUUUGCUUAGAUCCGGCAGUUCCCACUGAGUUACUUGAAGUCAACUUGGUGUGCAGAAGUGAUGAUGAAGACUCGGAGAGUCCUUUGCCCAACCUUGCCAAACAAUUCAACUCUGAACAGAAGGCUCAGGAAAGCAAGGUUGAUUGUUGCUUGCAGACAGAUGGCACUGGAAAGAUUGAUUGUUUUGUGCAGACGGAAGAUGCCAUAAAGAAAAUGUCUAAAGUGCCAACUGAGAAAUGCAUGAAGGUUGUUGUUGCAGUGCAGACUGAAGAAUGUCCAAAGCUACAGUCUUCUUUUUCUUGCAACACUGCUCCAGUCUCACGAGCCUACCAAAGACGCUAAGGAGUGUGAGAGUGAAUGUCCACUUGCUAUGGAGGUAGGGAGUGAAGAUUGGCUCUAACGACAAAGAAGGGCAAAUGCAUUGGUCCUGUGCAGAGCCACGUCACGAAUCACAAGAGGACCGACACUGACUAGUGACCUUUCAUGUGUGACAUCAUCCAAAAGGGCUUUAAUGCGAAGGAUGUCCUCGGUGCGCACCUGAGGGCUCCACACAGGAGAAAAGCCUCACGAGAGUCCAAGCUGUGGCUAGCACUUUGUUGAAGCAACCAACAUUAUGCAUCAUCAGAAGUUGCAACUAAGCGGUGGCGAAUGCUGUUGCCUGUGUAUGCCAUGUGACUAGAGUGUCACCUUCAAGGCCAACGUCACGCGGCAUUGAAUGACUCACUCGAACAAGAAGCCCCACUCCUCGGUGUGUGGCAAGAGGUUCAUGCAACGCAUUAGCGUUAAGUUGAGUGAGAGAGUGGUCCCAAUGUAUGACUGCACUGUCCUCACUACUAGAAAGGAUGCUUUAGCAUAGUGAAAUUGACUACCCACAUCCAUGGUUUCAUGGCUGCGGUGAAGACAAUAACUCUGAUUCACAUGCAGCAAGUUGUGAAGGGAUUGUGACCACAGACAUAUGACUGAACUGGGUGACAGAAAGAAAAGAUUGGCAAGUUGAGCAACAAGUAAAAGAAAAAGAUGUGAGUGGAGCGAGUGCACCUGGGCCACACAAAUGUGGAACUUCCAACACUGAGGGAGGACAGCUGGUGUGAAUAACAAUCCAAGUCAUGUGGCAGGAAGAGCAUCAGUGUGAAUAAUUUAUUACCUAUUGUUAAUAUAUUGCAGUACCAAGAAAUUACAGGGAGAAAGCAGCACUAAACCAAGGCACAGAGUGGGAAGACACAGCAGUAUAUGCUAAACUUCAGUAUAGCAAGAAAAUAAACACUUGCAUAGAUAGAUACCAAAUUCAAAUCUGAAAACCUUGAGAUAUCUCGGCCAACAACAGUAUGUGAACUACAGACAUGUGCUAGAGGUAUAUGCCCAUGCAACUGCUGCUUCAGAAAAUAGUAUGCAUUAUGAAAAUUUUGAAUGAUGAAAUUGUUUUGUCAAAAGUCAUUGUAACGUGAUUCAUGAUUAUGCAUCUGUGCUUGUUCUUUUAUCGAGUGCUCCUGGUGACAUCUUUGAAUUUUUCAUGAAUAAAAGUAUUGUUCUGUUAGUAAA